CUGUAUGUUUCUUCAAAAACAAAUAAUUAGGAGAGGUUUGAGAUUAAUUUGGACGAGCAUUACGUGAAAGAUAGCUGUGAGGAUAUUCUGAAAAAUAGAAGCCUACAAUGGUGCUACAAGUUAAAACAAUUGUUUGAAAGUGCACGCUCAGAGGAAGAAGCUCCUAAAAUUGAAGUGCCAGAGUUGACCCUAGAAAAUUGGAAUAGACUUUGUGACAUGUGGAUCGAUCCAAAACAUAAGAAACGAUGCGACAUAAACAAGGUCAAUUGAACUAAGCUUAAAUCUAAUCAUUUCAUGGGAUCAAAAGCAUUUGUAGUGGCUCGUGCUGAACUUGGUGAAAAUGAACCUGAAAAAGUAGAG